AUGAACGCUGGCGGCGUGCUUAACACAUGCAAGUCGAACGAGCCUUCGGGCUAGUGGCGGACGGGUGAGUAACGCGUGGGAAUCUGCCCUCAGGAGGGGGAUAACGGCCGGAAACGGCCGCUAAUACCCCAUAUGCCGAGAGGUGAAAUGAAUUUCGCCUGAGGAUGAGCCCGCGUCUGAUUAGCUAGUUGGUGUGGUAAUGGCGCACCAAGGCUUCGAUCAGUAGCUGGUCUGAGAGGAUGAUCAGCCACACUGGGACUGAGACACGGCCCAGACUCCUACGGGAGGCAGCAGUGGGGAAUUUUCCGCAAUGGGCGCAAGCCUGACGGAGCAACGCCGCGUGAGGGACGAAGGCCUCUGGGCUGUAAACCUCUUUUCUCAAGGAAGAAGACAUGACGGUACUUGAGGAAUAAGCCACGGCUAAUUCCGUGCCAGCAGCCGCGGUAAUACGGGAGUGGCAAGCGUUAUCCGGAAUUAUUGGGCGUAAAGCGUCCGCAGGCGGCCCAGCAAGUCUGUUGUUAAAAAGUGGAGCUUAACUCCAUCCAGGCAAUGGAAACUGCUGGGCUAGAGUGUGGUAGGGGCAGAGGGAAUUCCCGGUGUAGCGGUGAAAUGCGUAGAUAUCGGGAAGAACACCAGUGGCGAAGGCGCUCUGCUGGGCCAUAACUGACGCUCAUGGACGAAAGCCAGGGGAGCGAAAGGGAUUAGAUACCCCUGUAGUCCUGGCCGUAAACGAUGAACACUASGUGUCGGGGGAAUCGACCCCCUCGGUGUCGUAGCCAACGCGUUAAGUGUUCCGCCUGGGGAGUACGCACGCAAGUGUGAAACUCAAAGGAAUUGACGGGGGCCCGCACAAGCGGUGGAGUAUGUGGUUUAAUUCGAUGCAACGCGAAGAACCUUACCAGGGUUUGACAUCCUGCGAAUCCCUUGGAAACUUGGGAGUGCCUUCGGGAGCGCAGUGACAGGUGGUGCAUGGCUGUCGUCAGCUCGUGUCGUGAGAUGUUGGGUUAAGUCCCGCAACGAGCGCAACCCACGUCUUUAGUUGCCAGCAUUCAGUUGGGCACUCUAGAGAGACCGCCGGUGAUAAACCGGAGGAAGGUGUGGAUGACGUCAAGUCAUCAUGCCCCUUACAUCCUGGGCUACACACGUACUACAAUGCUACGGACAAAGGGCAGCAAACUCGCGAGAGCUAGCAAAUCCCAUAAACCGUGGCUCAGUUCAGAUCGUAGGCUGCAACUCGCCUACGUGAAGGAGGAAUCGCUAGUAAUCGCAGGUCAGCAUACUGCGGUGAAUACGUUCCCGGGCCUUGUACACACCGCCCGUCACACCAUGGAAGUUGGCCAUGCCCGAAGUCGUUACUCCAACCCGUAAGGGAGGAGGACGCCGAAGGUGGGGCUGAUGACUGGGGUGAAGUCGUAACAAGGUAGCCGUACCGGAAGGUGCGGCUGGAUCACCUCCU
rnacentral:rRNA from 1 species